UCACUCUUAGUAUAGUGGUUAGUAUAUGCGCCUGUCACGUGCAUGACCCGGGUUCAAUUCCCGGAGAGUGAG
rfam:Pseudocohnilembus persalinus scaffold410, whole genome shotgun sequence.